AACCAUUCUCACCUGCGGCUAGACCUGCGGAAGGAUCAUUACACAAUACAAUAUGAAGGCUGUCCGCAGCUGGAGUAUUUUAUUACCCUUGUCUUUUGCGCACUUGUUGUUUCCUGGGCGGGUUCGCUCGCCACCAGGACCACCAAAUAAACCUUUUUUAUGCAGUUGCAAUCAGCGUCAGUACAAACAAUGUAAAUCAUUUACAACUUUCAACAACGGAUCUCAGAUCGGAAGAGCACA
rnacentral:misc_RNA from 1 species